UAUCGGCGUCGCGCGAUAGUGGGGGACUAUGUACUUACGUGUACAUUGGCGGCUUUUUUUUUCGCGCAAGCACACAUCGGGGAUUUUCAUGGUCGCGGGUGGUUUCUAACGGGGAGAUUGUACGGCCGCCUUCUCGGGUUACUUGUGCUCCUACCGCACGGCCCAGUCGAGAAAGUCACUACGGUGUUAAUAACAGCAGUGACUGCGGAGUGCAGUUUGCAAUUAACAGAGUAGUUUGUGAGAAGAAAUACGAAGCAUGUUGAUUUGAUUCAGCAACUUGGGUAGUUUCUUUGACGUGUAAUACUUCAUUAUUCCAGACCAUCUGCUUGGAAUACUUACCGGACUCGAUCAUUCUACCGAGUGAUGCAUGAAAUUUUUCCACAAAUGGUGAAGCUCUCUCAUAACCAAGGGCCAAAUAUUUAGUUGAGAAGAACUAUAGGCACCUUCAGAAAAAAUUACCAAGUGCUGCACGUAUAGAUCUUGUCUUAUUUGCCAUACAAUCAAAUCAUCCCAGUUUUUUUCCAAAACUGGCAGUAUAUCUUUAUUGCAUGCAAUAAACGAUGCAAUAUAAAGAAUUAAGCUUAUUUGAUUCAUGUUUAACUUGUUUGAUUUAGAUUGUCACAGAUUGAGUAAGUGCGAAAUUCCUUACAGUUGUAUUAAUAAAAACGAGAGACACUGUUUCAAGCAAAUUGAUAUAUCGCAAUCUGACUGUGUAUAUUAUGUCCUCUAGUCUUUCUGUAUACUUUUAAUGCAAGAGGAAGAGUAAUAAAAAAAAUUUAUG